CUGAGCUGGAUUAAAUUGAUCUUCUAGUGGAUGUGGCAGCCUCCGGGGCUAACCUGCCAGGGGAAGAACUCCAAUGGCAUCUGCCAGAGUCUGAGUCAGCACACCUGUACUAGGUCACAACAGCAGCUGCCACCAAGGUCUCAGUCUCCAGGGACUCUCACCUCUCGCCAAGAUGCACCCAGAGUCUACCAGGAAACCAAUAAAUUAAUAGGAAACGGACUUUUUAAAUGACAAACAACACCAAACAGAAUAGGAAGGGAACCACCAAAAAGAAGUGAUUUCAACAAAUGUCUGGAAGAUGGUAAGCAGAUAAAGGAAUGAUGACACAAAGCAGAGGAAGCCACAGCUUAGAAUACAUGCUGGACACGUACAUUCAACGGGAAAAUCUGUCUGCCAUGCUCAAUUCCUGACAAGACUGGGAUGUUGAAAUCCAGCAGAGAAAGUCAGACAAUCCUGGACUGUCACCAUCUCCAUCAAGAGGUGUAACCUGCUUCUGCUGAAAGAAUCCUGAGUUAUGUAUACUAUGAAGGAUAUCGCAAUCUCUAUGCUGAGACUUCACCAUAUUAUUGCUGAUUUGGCGACUGCCUGUAUUGUGUUCCCAAUGUACCAGCAAGAGUAGCCAACCUUGGUCCUCCUUGGGCCCAAGCAGAUAAUUAGAUAUACUCAUACAGAAAUCUAACUCGGAAACAGGUUACAUGUAAAAGAUCACACAUUACAUCGUGUGAUCCCAACAAUAGUCCUAUGAGCUAGGUAUAUUAUUGAUAUCCCUAUUUUACAGAUGAAGAAAUUGAGAGUCAGAGAGAUUAAGUAAUUCACCCAAGGUUACAGAAAAAGUAAGUGAUGAAUACUGGAUUUCAGAGCUGGAAUUGCGAAGCACUCUACCACACUGCUUGUUAAUUUUGGCGUUUCUGUUUAGUAACCUAAUAACUGUGUGUUCCUGAUGCUUCUGAACUCUGGAUGUAGUGGCCAUCACCUGUGCCAGCAUGAAUACCAUGCAGGGUCUUGUGUGUGCUUGGAUAUACCAACUAUAUUUUGUUGUUAUCCUUUCCCUUUUCCUUAGUAUUUCAAAAAGGGUUAAUUGUUGGUGGUAAACUUCCCCAUUUAAUUCAUUGAGAUAGAUUGUGAUGGAAUUACAGGAGGAAUGGAGAACCCCUGGAGAUGAGAGACCUGUCGCACAAACAUAAGAAGUGAUGAGUAUUUGGAUCACCCACUUGGAGAGAGUGAAUUAAGCUUUGCUUUUCCGUUUUUUUUGCUUUUUGAUGGCUUGUUUUAUUAUGUUAGACUCUAUCACCUGUGAUGUUGCUAUUUGAGGACUUAAAUAUGUAAGACAUUAAUAUGCUGGUAUUGAACAGCCUAAGAGGUGGACUGUUCUAGAAGCUUUGGUAGAAUUUUUGGUUGCCCAGAACUUUUGAUUUACGUCCUGUAUUUGAGGAAAAUUCACCACCGAUGGGUCUCCUCAGAAAGCAGAUCCAAGCCUGUGAGAGCAGUCCCCAGGGCUAGGAGAAUUGGUGGUGUAAUGUGCACCGCCUCUGACAAUCAGGGGCAAAGGUGAUGCUUCCCCCAGACCAAAUAUAUGCCAUAGUUUUAGGUACUGUCCUGUCAGUACAGCACCACAGCUUGAUUCUCCAACAUUUCUGGGGAAUCGUUAAGGUAAUAUAUUUUAAUAAAUUUGUUUUUUAAUGUUUGAA
ensembl:lncRNA